AUGGCGACAAAGUGCAUCAUCGGCGCGUUGGUUGGAUCCCUUGGCGUUGCAUACGUCUGCGACACGAUCGUUUCUGACAAGAAGAUCUUUGGAGGCACUGUUUGCAAGACCGCGACCGACAGGGAGUGGUUUCAGGCCACAGACGCCAAGUUCCAGGCCUGGCCUCGCACCGCUGGGCCGCCGGUCAUCAUGAACCCCAUCAGCCGCCAGAACUUCAUCGUCAAGAACCCUUGA
rnacentral:rRNA from 1 species